rnacentral:rRNA from 1 species
CCUACGGGGGGCAGCAGUGAGGAAUAUUGGUCAAUGGGCGGGAGCCUGAACCAGCCAAGUCGCGUGAGGGAUGACGGCCCUAUGGGUUGUAAACCUCUUUUGCCGGGGAGCAAAGUGCCGCACGUGUGCGGUUUGGAGAGUACCCGGAGAAAAAGCAUCGGCUAACUCCGUGCCAGCAGCCGCGGUAAUACGGAGGAUGCGAGCGUUAUCCGGAUUUAUUGGGUUUAAAGGGUGCGUAGGCGGACGCUUAAGUCAGCGGUAAAAUUGCGGGGCUCAACCUCGUCGAGCCGUUGAAACUGGGUGCC